ensembl:lncRNA
CUCUUUCGUCCACUUUUGUCUUUACGCAACGUUACUCGGCCUCGCCCCUCCUUCAAUAAACACAGCUCCCCCUCCUCCCCCAUCGCUUCACCUGCAGGAAGCGACAAGAUGGACACGGCAAAUCUCCGUUAACGAGUUACUGCACAUCGCCCCGUGCGUGGGGCUGGACGCCGUCAACGUGUUAGCUAGCUAACCACGCUAACGAGCUAACCACGCUAACGCCUAAAAUCCUUGCAUUUUCUCAAAAGUUGACAGCGCGCCUUAUGUAUGAAUUCUGGUUGUGCUUGAUGGCCACUAACCGAUUUUAUGUGGUACACAGCGCUCAGCAAUCUGUCAAAAAUGUUUUAGUACGACUUUGGUAAGCUACGGUGCUGCACCGCUUGAUGGAUUGUCAGAGCAUUACGGCUACCGAGGAGCUUCGCGGAGUGAUACGUACUGUGCUUCAACGUAAUAUUACCCUACUGUGUAUAAGGACCAUAAAUGGCACCUGUUAAGUACGUGGUUACGAAGAGGAUUUCAAACUCAAGACUGUCAGUCACACAGUAGAAGUUGGGAACAGAGCAGCUGUGAAAUCUGUCUUUGUUACUCAGCGUCUUUUAUUUACAUUUUGACUGCACAAUUGUGAGCUUUUUGUUAUGCACAAAAACAACAUUGUUUUCUUUUAUUUAUGGAGCAUUAUUAUUUAAUAAAUGCUCAUAAUUUAUUUUUGAGUAAAUCUUAUGUACAUCUAUGCUCUUUGUUAAUAAAAGUGCCUGUGUGACAUCUGGGACACAGCUUUGACUAAGAACUCUCUUUUUGUUCUUACUUCAUGGCUUUAAAAAAAAAAAUCGAGAUAUAUAUCUUAUAUCGCCGUCCAGGUAAAAAAUAUCGAGAUAUGAAUUUUGGGUCAUAUCGCCCAGCCCUACAUGUGCGUAUGAAAACAAAGGCACUGCGCAUGCGCGUUUUACUCAUAUUCUAUCGCGAUAUUUAAUUUUCCUAUCGUUGCCUAACAUUAUACCGGUAUUACCGUGAACGGUAUAAUAUUGCCCAGCCCUACUGCCUAGGACACAUACAGGAUGUCAUGCUGAAAUGUAAAGCACUUACAAUAGAAGACAAACAACAAACUAUUCCAGCCUAAUUGAUGACAUUUAUGGCAUUUGCUUUCUGUGCUGACUGAUAUGCUGCUCAGUGCUUUGCUGCCUGCUUUUAAAUCAGAUGUCACUCUGAACAUAAACACAAGCUACAUGUGAUGUCUCUGAUGUGUAUCUGUUUCUACCCGUGCUGAUGCUAGCAUGACUAAAGCUAGCCAAGCAGCAGUAAAUAUGUGAAGUAAGGAAGAAGGAUAUACUCAUCAAACAAACAGGAUCAUAAGAAUAUAAAACCACGAGCACUACAAAUGUAACAGAAAUAUGUUGACAUAAAAUGGC